GCUCAACCGAGGAAGUGCUUCGAAAACUGGUAAACUUGAGUGCAGAAGAGGAAAGUGGAACUCCAUGUGUAGCGGUGGAAUGCGUAGAUAUAUGGAAGAACACCAGUGGCGAAGGCGGCUUUCUGGUCUGUAACUGACGCUGAGAUUCGAAAGCAUGGGUAGCAAACAGGAUUAGAUACCCUGGUAGUCCAUGCCGUAAACGAUGAGUGCUAAGUGUUGGAGGGUUUCCGCCCUUCAGUGCUGCAGCUAACGCAUUAAGCACUCCGCCUGGGGAGUACGAUCGCAAGAUUGAAACUCAAAGGAAUUGACGGGGGCCCGCACAAGCGGUGGAGCAUGUGGUUUAAUUCGAAGCAACGCGAAGAACCUUACCAGGUCUUGACAUACCAUGAAAAGCUUAGAGAUAAGUCUUUCCCUUCGGGGACAUGGAUACAGGUGGUGCAUGGUUGUCGUCAGCUCGUGUCGUGAGAUGUUGGGUUAAGUCCCGCAACGAGCGCAACCCUUAUUAUCAGUUGCCAGCAUCCAGUUGGGCACUCUGGUGAGACUGCCGGUGAUAAACCGGAGGAAGGUGGGGACGACGUCAAAUCAUCAUGCCCCUUAUGACCUGGGCUACACACGUGCUACAAUGGUCGGUACAACG
rnacentral:rRNA from 1 species